AAUAAGUGUUUUAUGGCACUUUUUAAAUCCAUAUUCACCUUGUGUGCAAUGUCAGUCGAUCUUCUUUAUGGAGAUUGGCCAAACAUCAACCUAAUUUUUUAACUCUUUGUCUGAAAAAUAUUAUGAAUAAAAUAAUUCAAAAUACAACUUUCAACAACGGAUCUCUUGGCUCU
rnacentral:misc_RNA from 1 species